rnacentral:rRNA from 1 species
UUGCCAGCAGCCGCGGUAAUACGUAGGGUGCAAGCGUUGUCCGGAAUCAUUGGGCGUAAAGAGCUCGUAGGCGGUCUGUCGCGUCUGCUGUGAAAACCUGGGGCUUAACCCCGGGCCUGCAGUGGGUACGGGCAGACUAGAGUGCGGUAGGGGAGACUGGAAUUCCUGGUGUAGCGGUGAAAUGCGCAGAUAUCAGGAGGAACACCGGUGGCGAAGGCGGGUCUCUGGGCCGUAACUGACGCUGAGGAGCGAAAGCAUGGGUAGCGAACAGGAUUAGAUACCCUGGUAGUCCAUGCCGUAAACGUUGGGCGCUAGGUGUGGGGCUCAUUCCACGAGUUCCGUGCCGCAGCAAACGCAUUAAGCGCCCCGCCUGGGGAGUACGGCCGCAAGGCUAAAACUCAAAGGAAUUGACGGGGCCCCGCACAAGCGGCGGAGCAUGCGGAUUAAUUCGAUGCAACGCGAAGAACCUUACCAAGGCUUGACAUGCAGGGAAAUCUCCCAGAGAUGGGAGGUCCGCAAGGGUCCUGCACAGGUGGUGCAUGGUUGUCGUCAGCUCGUGUCGUGAGAUGUUGGGUUAAGUCCCGCAACGAGCGCAACCCUCGUUCUAUGUUGCCAGCGGGUAAUGCCGGGGACUCAUAGGAGACUGCCGGGGUCAACUCGGAGGAAGGUGGGGAUGACGUCAAAUCAUCAUGCCCCUUAUGUCUUGGGCUUCACGCAUGCUACAAUGGCCAGUACAAAGGGCUGCGAGACCGUAAGGUGGAGCGAAUCCCAAAAAGCUGGUCUCAGUUCGGAUUGGGGUCUGCAACUCGACCCCAUGAAGUCGGAGUCGCUAGUAAUCGCAGAUCAGCAACGCUG